UACGUAGGGUGCAAGCGUUAAUCGGAAUUACUGGGCGUAAAGCGUGCGCAGGCGGUUAUGUAAGACAGGUGUGAAAUCCCCGGGCUCAACCUGGGGGCUGCGCUUGAUACUGAUUGGCUUGAAUGCGGGAGAGGAUAGUGGAAUUCCCAAGUGUAGAGGUGAAAUUCGUAGAUAUUGGGGAAGAACACCGGUGGCGAAGGCGGCUAUCUGGCCCGUAAUUGA
rnacentral:rRNA from 1 species